UACGUAGGGUGCAAGCGUUGUCCGGAAUUAUUGGGCGUAAAGAGCUCGUAGGCGGUCUGUCGCGUCGGCUGUGAAAACUCGGGGCUCAACCCCGAGCCUGCAGUCGAUACGGGCAGACUAGAGUUCGGUAGGGGAGACUGGAAUUCCUGGUGUAGCGGUGAAAUGCGCAGAUAUCAGGAGGAACACCGGUGGCGAAGGCGGGUCUCUGGGCCGAUACUGACGCUGAGGAGCGAAAGCGUGGGGAGCAAACAGG
rnacentral:rRNA from 1 species